rnacentral:rRNA from 1 species
CCCAGUGAACCAUUUCAACGGCCGCGAUAUUUUAACCGUGCUAAGGUAGCGUAAUCAUUUGCCCCUUAAUUAGUGGCCUGUAUGAACGGGAAAACGAGAGAAUAGCUGUCUCCCUAUUAUAAAUAUAAACUUAUCUUCAGGUGAAAAAGCCUGAAUCUGUAUAAAAGACAAGAAGUCCCCGUCGAGCUUUAACAAUAUUUAGCCACCAACUACUAACUUUAGAACGCGUAACCCCUAUAAAAAUUUUUGUUGGGGCAACACUGGAAAAAAUAACCUCCACAAAACUCAAGACCCCAUGUCACACUGUAGACCCUCCACAGGCCUUAGGAUCCAGCUACCGCGGGGAUAACAGGCUAAUUCUCUACAGGAGUCCAAAUCGACUAGAGAGGUUGGCACCUCGAUGUUGGCUUAAGAUUCCCUACAGAUGCAGCAGCCUACACGGUAGGUUUGUUCAACCUUUAAAAUCUUACGUGAUCUGAGUU